GCACAGAGAUGAGGUCCGACAGGCGCAAGGGUUUCCCUGACAUCGGGCACUUCACGAUGCGUGACUGCUUCCGACACACACACACACACGCACACAGGGGUCCCUUCACCUUCAUCUGCCGGGCGAUCUCGCGCUUCUGGUGCAGGAUGUACUCCAGGAUUGCUUCGCGCUCAUAUAGGAAGCCGUCAGGACUGCAAGGCACAUGGGGGUGCAGGGUCACCACAGAAAUAGGAGAUGUCCCCGGAGACCCAGCAGCCACAUACAGAGGCACCAAUAAAGAGCAGGGUAGAUGCAGAGAUGCUCAA